AAGGUAUGCAAGUCGAACGAUCCCUUUCUGAUUUCUUGAAGCUUCGGCUGAUAGUUUUCUAUUUGGGAUAGUGGCAAACGGGUGAGUAACACGUAGAUAACUUGCCUCGAAGUCGGGGAUAGCUCGUCGAAAGACGGGGUAAUAUCCGAUGGUCUCUAAUCACUUCGUGUGUUUUAGAGUAAAGCUUUUGUGCUUCGAGAGAGGUCUGCGUCCUAUCAGCUAGUUGGUGAGGUAAUGGCUCACCAAGGCUAAGACGGGUAGCUGGUGUGAGAGCACGGUCAGCCACCAUGGAACUGAGACACGGUCCAUACUCCUACGGGAGGCAGCAAUUAGGAAUCUUGCGCAAUGGGGGCAACCCUGACGCAGCGACACAGCGUGGAGGAUGAAGGUCUUCGGAUUGUAAACUCCUUUUAUAUGGGAAGAAUAGAUGACUGUACCAUAUGAAUAAGGACCUGCUAACUACGUGCCAGAAGCAUCGGUGAUGCGUAGGGUCCGAACGUUAUCCGGAUUUAUUGGGUGUAUAGAGAUGCGUAGGCGGUUUGAUAAGUCUUGAGUUAAAGACCUCGGCUCAACCGAGGAAAAGCUUUCGAUACUAUCAGACUUGAGGCAUAGAGGGGUGAACGGAAUUCCGAGUGGAGUGGUGAAAUACGUUGAUAUUCGGAGGAACAUCAGUGGCGAAGGCGGUUCACUGGCUAUUGCCUGACGCUCAGGCUCGAAAGCGUGGGUAGCAAAACGGAUUAGAUACCCGUGUAGUCCACGCUGUAAACUAUGGAUGCUAGGUGUUUGGUACAACGGCUUUUAAUCUUCGGAUUUUAAACGGGAGUGCUGAGUGCCGCAGCUAACGCGUUAAGCAUCCCACCUGGGAAGUACGGNCGCAAGGCU
rnacentral:rRNA from 1 species